rnacentral:rRNA from 1 species
GAUGAACGCUGGCGGCGUGCCUAAUACAUGCAAGUCGAGCGAACAGACGAGGAGCUUGCUCCUUUGACGUUAGCGGCGGACGGGUGAGUAACACGUGGGUAACCUACCUAUAAGACUGGGAUAACUUCGGGAAACCGGAGCUAAUACCGGAUAAUAUUUCGAACCGCAUGGUUCGAUAGUGAAAGAUGGCUUUGCUAUCACUUAUAGAUGGACCUGCGCCGUAUUAGCUAGUUGGUAAGGUAACGGCUUACCAAGGCAACGAUACGUAGCCGACCUGAGAGGGUGGUCGGCCACACUGGAACUGAGACACGGUCCAGACUCCUACGGGAGGCAGCAGUAGGGAAUCUUCCGCGAUGGGCGAAAGCCUGACGGAGCAACGCCGCGUGAGUGAUGAGGGUCUUCGGAUCGUAAAACUCUGUUAUUAGGGAAGAACAAACGUGUAAGUAACUGUGCACGUCUUGACGGUACCUAAUCAGAAAGCCACGGCUAACUACGUGCCAGCAGCCGCGGUAAUACGUAGGUGGCAAGCGUUAUCCGGAAUUAUUGGGCGUAAGCGCGCGUAGGCGGUUUUUUAGUCUGAUGUGAAAGCCCACGGCUCUUUCGUGGAGGGUCAUUGGAAACUGGAAAACUUGAGUGCAGAAGAGGAAAGUGGAAUUCCAUGUGUAGCGGUGAAAUGCGCAGAGAUAUGGAGGAACACCAGUGGCGAAGGCGACUUUCUGGUCUGUAACUGACGCUGAUGUGCGAAAGCGUGGGGAUCAAACAGGAUUAGAUACCCUGGUAGUCCACGCCGUAAACGAUGAGUGCUAAGUGUUAGGGGGUUUCCGCCCCUUAGUGCUGCAGCUAACGCAUUAAGCACUCCGCCUGGGGAGUACGACCGCAAGGUUGAAACUCAAAGGAAUUGACGGGGACCCGCACAAGCGGUGGAGCAUGUGGUUUAAUUCGAAGCAACGCGAAGAACCUUACCAAAUCUUGACAUCCUUUGACCCUUCUAGAGAUAGAAGUUUCCCCUUCGGGGGACAAAGUGACAGGUGGUGCAUAGUUGUCGUCAGCUCGUGUCGUGAGAUGUUGGGUUAAGUCCCGCAACGAGCGCAACCCUUAAGCUUAGUUGCCAUCAUUAAGUUGGGCACUCUAAGUUGACUGCCGGUGACAAACCGGAGGAAGGUGGGGAUGACGUCAAAUCAUCAUGCCCCUUAUGAUUUGGGCUACACACGUGCUACAAUGGACAAUACAAAGGGCAGCGAAACCGCGAGGUCAAGCAAAUCCCAUAAAGUUGUUCUCAGUUCGGAUUGUAGUCUGCAACUCGACUACAUGAAGCUGGAAUCGCUAGUAAUCGUAGAUCAGCAUGCUACGGUGAAUACGUUCCCGGGUCU